UUUUGUCCGAGCCAGCUAAAGUUAGAAAGCCAGAGACAGCCACUAGUAUGGCUUCCUGGAGACAUACACAAAAUGCAGCAGGGUGCUGAAUAGAACCAGAGCAUUGAGCAGCUGGUAACAUGCCUACCUGAUCCCCCAAAAGUAGCCAUCUGCAGGGGUUCUCUUCUAACGAAGGAGGGGAGGGUAGAGGAAAAGAUGGCCAGCCAACAGAGCCAAGCCAGGACCGCCCUGCUUCCGAAGCUCACCACAAGUCAAACUCCAAGUCUUAUGCCUCCACCACUCAGCUCUUACAAUAAGACAAACACUUUCUAAUUUCUGUCUCCAUGGCAAGUUUGCCUGAUGUUGGACCUCAGCAAAGCAGUGCUUUCUGUUGGAGAUGUGAGCACUCUUCUCUAAGAGCCCAGUCAUGCUGCCAGAGGAGGUUGUUUACGACUGAGACAUCCCUUGCAAAAUGGAACAUUUUAUGAUACCAAUUUUGCAAAUGGAAACAAAAUGUAUGCAAAGAACAAAGACAGAAGGAAACACAAUAAAUGGACUUC